rnacentral:rRNA from 1 species
GAUGAACGCUGGCGGCGUGCCUAAUACAUGCAAGUCGAGCGAACGGACGAGAAGCUUGCUCCUCUGAUGUUAGCGGCGGACGGGUGAGUAACACGUGGAUAACCUACCUAUAAGACUGGGAUAACUUCGGGAAACCGGAGCUAAUACCGGAUAAUAUUUUGAACCGCAUGGUUCAAAAGUAAAAGACGGUCUUGCUGUCACUUAUAGAUGGAUCCGCGCUGCAUUAGCUAGUUGGUAAGGUAACGGCUUACCAAGGCAACGAUGCAUAGCCGACCUGAGAGGGUGAUCGGCCACACUGGAACUGAGACACGGUCCAGACUCCUACGGGAGGCAGCAGUAGGGAAUCUUCCGCAAUGGGCGAAAGCCUGACGGAGCAACGCCGCGUGAGUGAUGAAGGUCUUCGGAUCGUAAAACUCUGUUAUUAGGGAAGAACAUAUGUGUAAGUAACUGUGCACAUCUUGACGGUACCUAAUCAGAAAGCCACGGCUAACUACGUG